ACGGAGGGUGCGAGCGUUGUCCGGAAUCACUGGGCGUAAAGGGCGCGUAGGCGGUCUGUUAAGCGUGUGGUGAAAGCUCGGGGCUCAACCCCGAGUCUGCCAUGCGAACUGGUGGACUUGAGCACUGUAGAGGCAGGUGGAAUUCCGGGUGUAGCGGUGGAAUGCGUAGAGAUCCGGAAGAACACCGGUGGCAAAGGCGGCCUGCUGGGCAGUUGCUGACGCUGAGGCGCGACAGCGUGGGGAGCAAACAGGA
rnacentral:rRNA from 1 species